CCUACGUGGUGCAGCAGUGGGGAAUAUUGCGCAAUGGGCGAAAGCCUGACGCAGCGACGCCGCGUGAGGGAUGAAGGUCUUCGGAUCGUAAACCUCUGUCAGCAGGGAAGAACGGUCGCUGUGCUAAUCAGCAGUGAAUUGACGGUACCUGCAAAGGAAGCACCGGCUAACUCCGUGCCAGCAGCCGCGGUAAUACGGAGGGUGCGAGCGUUAAUCGGAAUUACUGGGCGUAAAGCGCUCGUAGGCGGUAUGUCAAGUAAAGGGUGAAAUCCCCGCGCGAAACGUGGGAACUGCCGUUGAAACUGGCAAACUGGAGUGUGUGAGAGGAUAGUGGAAUUCCAGGUGUAGGAGUGAAAUCCGUAGAUAUCUGGAGGAACAUCAGUGGCGAAGGCGACUAUCUGGCACAUAACUGACGCUGAGGAGCGAAAGCGUGGGUAGCAAACAGGAUUAGAUACCCUAGUAGUC
rnacentral:rRNA from 1 species